rnacentral:rRNA from 1 species
AUGACACGUACGGUGACUGAAAAAGGAAUGGAGCACACUAAAAGGGAGAUCGAUGGUGAGAGACGCAUGAUGCACAACAGAGCGGCCGGACGGCUGCCAGCAGAUCAGGGGCUCGAGAGAGUCUCGCACGUGGUCUUGCAGAAGGUCAUGCAGGCGCUGAACAUCUUAUCGACGCAGGCCGUACCCGCCGCCGGCGACACGGCGCAGACGGCCUGGCACAUGCCCGGCGCGAGCGCCUCGCACCCCGGUCGGCAUUUUGGUCGGCAUGCGUUUUGGGCAUCAGGGCACGCCAAUCCACCGCCGGCAGGCGCCGGUGCCAUCGGCGUCGAGUACCCCAACCCCACGGUGGUCUGGACCAGUAACAUGGUGAUGCAGAUGGCGACAACGGCGGCCGUCUUGAGUGUGAGCGCAGAGGCGGCAGCCAUGGGGAUGGAUGUGCCUUGA